AGGGAGUUAGGGUUAUAUAAUACAAUAAUACAAUAUUAAGGAUUGUUGGUGGUUGAAAAAUCAUUAAACUAUAAUUGCACUUUUUUAAAUUUUAUUAAAUGAAGAAGACUGUAAAUUGGGAGGUGUAGGAUGAAAUAAGUGAGGUAGAAUAAAAAGAUUUCAAAGAAGUUUUUACAAGAAAACAACUAAAAUAAGUUGGAAGACAAGGAGCUUGUAAAUUUUAAAGAUUAUAAACGUAUUUUAAAAGCAUAAGAUAACAUUAUGUAAUAAUCUAAAACUACAUAAAAAGAUGGUUAGAAAUAUAAAAAGUCGCUUUUAAGUACAUAUAAUGGUUAUAAUGGUUAUAAGUAUUGGGAAA
rnacentral:lncRNA from 1 species